rnacentral:rRNA from 1 species
UCGCCUGUUUAUCAAAAACAUCGCCUCUUGAAAAAUAUAAGAGGUCCAGCCUGCCCAGUGACUCUGUUCAACGGCCGCGGUAUCCUAACCGUGCGAAGGUAGCGUAAUCACUUGUUCUUUAAAUGAGGACUAGUAUGAAAGGCAUCACGAGGGUUAUACUGUCUCCUUUUUCUAAUUAGUGAAACUAAUCUCCCCGUGAAGAAGCGGGGAUUUUUAUAUAAGACGAGAAGACCCUAUGGAGCUUUAAAUAAUAUAACAAUUGCUAUCUUACUCCUAUUAAUUUAUAGCAUCUGGCAAUAUGAUUAUUAGUUUUUGGUUGGGGUGACCGCGGAGUAUAACAUAACCUCCACAUUGAAAGGAUUAACGUCCUAAGCUAAAAGCAACAACUUUAAGCAUCAACAAAUUGACAUCAAUUGACCCAAUAUACUUGAUCAACGAACCAAGUUACCCUAGGGAUAACAGCGCAAUCUACUUUAAGAGCCCAUAUCGACAAGUAGGUUUACGACCUCGAUGUUGGAUCAGGGUAUCCUAGUGGUGCAGCCGCUACUAACGGUUCGUUUGUUCAACGAUUAAAACCCUACGUGAUCUGAGUUCAGACGGGAA